UAACACAUGCAAGUCGAACGGAAAGGCCCUGCUUUUGUGGGGUGCUCGAGUGGCGAACGGGUGAGUAACACGUGAGUAACCUGCCCUUGACUUUGGGAUAACUUCAGGAAACUGGGGCUAAUACCGGAUAGGAGCUCCUGCUGCAUGGUGGGGGUUGGAAAGUUUCGGCGGUUGGGGAUGGACUCGCGGCUUAUCAGCUUGUUGGUGGGGUAGUGGCUUACCAAGGCUUUGACGGGUAGCCGGCCUGAGAGGGUGACCGGCCACAUUGGGACUGAGAUACGGCCCAGACUCCUACGGGAGGCAGCAGUGGGGAAUAUUGCACAAUGGGCGGAAGCCUGAUGCAGCAACGCCGCGUGCGGGAUGACGGCCUUCGGGUUGUAAACCGCUUUCGCCUGUGACGAAGCGUGAGUGACGGUAAUGGGUAAAGAAGCACCGGCUAACUACGUGCCAGCAGCCGCGGUGAUACGUAGGGUGCGAGCGUUGUCCGGAUUUAUUGGGCGUAAAGGGCUCGUAGGUGGUUGAUCGCGUCGGAAGUGUAAUCUUGGGGCUUAACCCUGAGCGUGCUUUCGAUACGGGUUGACUUGAGGAAGGUAGGGGAGAAUGGAAUUCCUGGUGGAGCGGUGGAAUGCGCAGAUAUCAGGAGGAACACCAGUGGCGAAGGCGGUUCUCUGGGCCUUUCCUGACGCUGAGGAGCGAAAGCGUGGGGAGCGAACAGGCUUAGAUACCCUGGUAGUCCACGCUGUAAACGGUGGGUACUAGGUGUGGGGUCCAUUCCACGGGUUCCGUGCCGUAGCUAACGCUUUAAGUACCCCGCCUGGGGAGUACGGCCGCAAGGCUAAAACUCAAAGGAAUUGACGGGGCCCCGCACAAGCGGCGGAGCAUGCGGAUUAAUUCGAUGCAACGCGUAGAACCUUACCUGGGUUUGACAUGGAUCGGGAGUGCUCAGAGAUGGGUGUGCCUCUUUUGGGGUCGGUUCACAGGUGGUGCAUGGCUGUCGUCAGCUCGUGUCGUGAGAUGUUGGGUUAAGUCCCGCAACGAGCGCAACCCUUGUUCACUGUUGCCAGCACGUUAUGGUGGGGACUCAGUGGAGACCGCCGGGGUCAACUCGGAGGAAGGUGGGGAUGACGUCAAGUCAUCAUGCCCCUUAUGUCCAGGGCUUCACGCAUGCUACAAUGGCUGGUACAGAGAGUGGCGAGCCUGUGAGGGUGAGCGAAUCUCGGAAAGCCGGUCUCAGUUCGGAUUGGGGUCUGCAACUCGACCUCAUGAAGUCGGAGUCGCUAGUAAUCGCAGAUCAGCAACGCUGCGGUGAAUACGUUCCCGGGGCUUGUACACACCGCCCGUCAAGUCAUGAAAGUUGGUAACACCCGAAGCCGGUGGCCUAACCGUUGUGGGGGAGCCGUCGAAGGUGGGACUGGUGAUUAGGACUAAGA
rnacentral:rRNA from 1 species